GGAAACUGGGCAGUUACCAGCAGAGGACUUUUAGUUUGCCCCCCCGAAACUAAGUGAGCUACUUUGAAAUAGCCAUGAGAGCCAACCCAUCUCUGUUGCAAUAGAGUGGGACAAUUUUUAAGUAGAGGUGAUAAGCCUAUCGGACUUAGAGAUAGCUGGUUUUUUAAGAAAAGAAUUUUAGUUCAGCCCUAAGCCUCCUAUUACACAAAUAUUUUACUAGACUUAGGUGUUAUUCAAAUAAGGCACAGCUUAUUUGAAACAGGAUACAACCUACAACAAAGGGUAAGACAAAUUACACUUUUGAUAAGUGGGCCUAAAAGCAGCCACCUUUAAAAAAGCGUCAAAGCUUAACAUUAAAAUUUAAUUAAUACCCAAAACAACUUCUAACCCUUAUUAACUAUUAAAAAACCCCAUAAUAUUAUGGAAGUUAUUAUGCUAGAACAAGUAACAAGAAAAAGACUUUCUCCAAAAUGUAGACUUAAGCCAUGAUAGACAAACUGAUGGCAAUCAACGUUUAUGAGCCACUUAUAGCAACCCACCAAGAAAAUCCUAUAGUAAUAGACGUCAACCUCACACUAGCACAUUAGUGGAAAGAUUAAAAGAAUAGGAAGGAACUCGGCAAAUAUUGAUCCCGCCUGAUAUCAAAAAAAAACAUGGAAACC
rnacentral:rRNA from 1 species